rnacentral:tRNA from 1 species
GGGCCCGUAGCAUAGCUAGGUCAUUGUGGCGGGCUCAUAACCCGCCGGCGCCGGUUCAAAUCCGGCCGGGCCCA